rnacentral:misc_RNA from 1 species
AAGUCGUAACAAGGUCUCCGUUGGUGAACCAGCGGAAGGAUCAUUAAAGAUUCGACCUUCGGGUCUAUCUUCUCUUCAGCUGUGCGCCUCGGCUGCACGCUGUUGAAUCUCACACACCUGUGCACUUGUUAUCGGGGCUUGUUGUUAAAGAUAAGCCCUGCUUAAUCACAUACUCUUAUUAUUUACUUUGAAUGUUUAUCAAGUCGAAAGACUUUUAAAUCAAUACAACUUUUAACAACGGAUCUCUUGGCUCUC